rnacentral:rRNA from 1 species
GAUGAACGCUGGCGGCGUGCCUAAUACAUGCAAGUCGAGCGAACAGACGAGGAGCUUGCUCCUCUGACGUUAGCGGCGGACGGGUGAGUAACACGUGGAUAACCUACCUAUAAGACUGGGAUAACUUCGGGAAACCGGAGCUAAUACCGGAUAACAUGUUGAACCGCAUGGUUCAACAGUGAAAGACGGUCUUGCUGUCACUUAUAGAUGGAUCCGCGCCGCAUUAGCUAGUUGGUAAGGUAACGGCUUACCAAGGCAACGAUGCGUAGCCGAGCUGAGAGGGUGAUCGGCCACACUGGAACUGAGACACGGCCCAGACUCCUACGGGAGGCAGCAGUAGGGAAUCUUCCGCAAUGGGCGAAAGCCUGACGGAGCAACGCCGCGUGAGUGAAGAAGGUCUUCGGAUCGUAAAACUCUGUUAUUAGGGAAGAACAAAUGUGUAAGUAACUAUGCACGUCUUGACGGUACCUAAUCAGAAAGCCACGGCUAACUACGUG